CUCUAUCACCCAUCACUCGUCAGAGACCACGUUCAAUUGCUCAGGCCCACAAGAUUACAAAUUUGAGAAACCAACGGAUCAUGUUAAUUCAUCACCCCUCCCAAUCUUAAAAAAAUAUCCUACAUUUUGGCAAGUUGCUCUAAUGCUCCAGACAACCCCAACGACACCGAACAAGGGGGAAGAAGAGAAGGCUCAGUUUUAAGUUUUACUAGAUUUUGACUUUUUCUGGGUCAAGUCCGAACUCGGUAAAUGGAGUUCCCGUUGGUGUCGCGGGCUCUUAAUCCCCCAGUAACUUGGUUUUGUAAUUAUGAGUUGCCGGUGAGAAUAAUAGAGAUGAAAAAGAAGAAGGGAGUUUUGACAAAUAAUGGGGUGGUGAAAGCGGAGAGGAGUAGUGGUGCUGGUGGAAAAGCGGUGGAGAGAGAAGAAAGAGAGAGUCGGGUAUAUAGGACGGGUUCAGGUAUUGAGGUUAACAAUUUUAAUGAAAGCUUUAAUGAUGCAGAAUUUGCAGUCUGGGAAAAGAUUGGAAUUGAUGUUAGACUAAGUUAAGGAAUUGGUUCGAUCGUUCAAGAAUCAAAAGAGAAAGUUCCACAUUCAUAUUCUUCGGAAUCGGUUUAAUCGUUCAAGAAUCGAAAGAGAAGGUUCCACAUUCAUAUUCUUUGGAAUCGGACCUUUUGUGAAUUUUUGAAAGUUUUUGCUCAAUACGUAACGAACAUUAGCUGGAUCACAAGUCACCAACAUGUCCAUGUUGCCAAACCGUGGGCCUUUAAACCAAACAGUGGUGGAGCUCUCAAGAAGCUCGGUGAUAUAGUCGUGAAUUCUGUGAAUAUUGAAAAUUAGCAAUGGCAUCAUACCAAAAAGUGGCAAGUUUAUAUGCAGUAAUCUUUUCUUUCUUUUUCCAUCGAAGUUUCUGUAGGAAAGAAAAAUAGCAGACAAAAUUACAAGCAAUAGUAAGACGAAGUUUAUGAUGGCCAACAUAUCUGGUGCAUGUAUUCUGAAAAUCAAAGGUUAAAUGGUGAGGUUUCAUAAAUUUUGGCUGAUAAUGAUAUGCUGUGUGUCUUGUGGGUCUUUUAUAAUGGGCAUUUCUUCAAAUGAGCAAGUCAUUUUCGAGGACAUCAUAGUUAUUUCUGCCAUUUGGCUGGAGGUAAUUGUAAUGGACAAGCGUCCUGCUUCAUUGGUUGCAAAUGUCAUGUUUUCUGGCAAGAAUUAAAUGAGUAACUAUGAGAACUUUGGUAAUCUCAAACCAUAUACAUACAUCUUGCACGAGUCAAACACUCUUUGCAUUCGUCAUCUUUCCAUACAAAGUGUUGUAACUUUAAGUU